CACGGAGCAACCGCUCCUCACCACCAUUGCUGCGCGGUUUCUAACAGCUCCUCAUGAAGACCAAAUACCGCCAAUGGGAGAGCCACAAGCUGGUUCACCAGAGGUAGAGGUGGCUAGGGCGGAAGAGGAGGAAGAGGUUAAUUUUUUUUUUUGAAGAGGUGCCUAGGGAGGAAGAGGAGGAGGUGCCUAUGGUUGAAUAUCAAGAUCAGGGGACCCAAACUGGUCCAUUUUUAACUCCACUUUUUGACCAACUGGCUGAGGCCCUAACAGCUGUUGCCAGGGCAGUUAGAAACAUACAGCAGGCCCUAAAUGAGAUGUAAUAAUUUAAAUUUGUUUGAUUUUAAAAAAAAAAAAAGAAAAAAAAAAAUUAGAAUAAAAAUUGUUUCUUUUAUAGUUA